GAAACAUGACAUACAAAAUAAAAAAGUCAUGUACAUACAGUGUACUAAUGCUCAAUAGCAAUAUGUUUGGUCAUAAAGAAGUUGUGUUACUAUAGUUUAGAUUUCAGUGUAAAUCACUUGUAAAUGGGAUAUGUAAGAUUAGCACAAAUUACAGACUUUUUUUGUAUUUCAGAAUGCAUCCAUGCCACCUGGUUUUUGACAUUACUGCUGUGGACAGAUUUUCAGCAAUGCAGCCAUCCUGGUUGCUGAAGCCACAGAGGUAUUUUCAAGGACAAGAACCAAUGCUGAUCAAAACAUGGUCUAGUGAUGGAAUUCCAUACCCGUUCUUGGCAAGGAUUUUUUAGAAAGGAAUAUUGUCUGCAAAAUAUGAUGUGCCAAUAAGCUCCAGUUUGCUGCGGCUUUUCGCCCAUGGCAGUGGUCCUGCAAUCUCGAUCCAGGAGUUGCAGCUCUGAAUCUAAUAUUUCAGAAUGAAGAUGUAAGUUAACUUUGUAGUACUUGUUUGUGUGUAAAUGAUUCCAAAGAGUGAGAUUUAUACUAAUCAGGUGUAAA